AGACACAGGGAGAGAGAGAGAGAGAGAGGCAGAGACACAGGCAGAGGGAGAAGCAGGCUCCAUGUAGGGAACCCAAGGUCAGACUCAAUCCCAGGACUCCAGGAUCACGCCCUGGGCCGAAGGCAGGCGCUAAACCAGGCAGGCGCUAAACCGCUGAGCCACCCAGGGAUCCGCCUAACUCUCAUUUUUCAAUUUGCAAAUAUAAGUUGCUGGUGGAGAAUGUAGCUUUCCAAAUUUAAUACUUAAGGUCUACAAUGGCAUAAGAAAGAUGACUGUCAAAUCUAGUGAUGGCUUCUAUAAAACAGAGAUAUCAGAACUGAUAAGCAUUGAAAUACUAAAAAAGUUCAUUUCCAUGAAAGCAAGAUGUGUAAAUAUUUUGUAAGAAAUUAAGACAAAUUCCAUAUGAUUUCACUUACAUAUAGAAUCUAAAAAAUAAAACAAAUGAAUAGACAACAACAACAAAAGAGAAACAGACAUAAAUACAGAGAACAAACUGGUGGUUACCAGAGGAGAGCAGAGGUGGGGGAUGGACAAAAUAGAUAAAGGGGACCAAGAGGCAUAAAAUUCCAAUUAUAAAAUAAAUAAGUCACGGGUAUAAAAAGUACAACAUAGAGAAUACAGUCAAUAAUAUUGUAAUAACUUUGGUGACAGAUAGUGACUCUUCUUAUCAUGAUGAGCAUUUUGUAAGAUACACAACUAUAGAAUCAAAUUGUAGCUAAUAUAUGCCAACUACACUUCAAUUUUUUUAAAAUGACAAUUAAAAAAAUUAUUAUAUCCAGUACAUACUUAUUACAGUUAAAAAUUCAAUUUUUCUAUUACUUAGGUUUAAUAAUUUGAUCUGUAUACUGAAUCUGUAAACAGAAUUCAUGUUUGCUCUAAUUGUGACUGAAAAACAAAUAAUGUGCUUGGAAACUUUUCCAAUUUAAAGAAGCUUUAUAAGCCAAACGACCAUGAAAAUGAUCCUUUUCUAAAGGUUUUAUGAUUUUAAAAAAAGUUUUUAUGAUCAAGAGAAAUAUAGCACCAAAAGACAAAGGGUGGGGGUGCCUGGGUGGCUCAGUUGGCUAAGCAUCUGCCUUUGGCUCAGGUCAUGAUCCCAGGGUCCUGGGAUCAAGCCCCUUAACAGGCUCCCCACUCUCAGGGAGCCUGCUUCUCCCUCUCCUCCUUGCUCAUGCUCUCUCACUAUCUCUCUCUCAAAUAAGUAAAAUAUAAAAUAUUAAAUUUAAAAAAUGUUGCAUGGUGACAGAUGGUGGCUAUACUUAUCAUGGUGAGCACUUGAGUAAUGUAUAGAGUUGUCUAAUCACUAUCUUGUACACCUGAGACCAAUUUUGUUAAUUAUACCUUAAUACAAAGUAAUAAUAAUCAGAUAUUUAAUUCAAUUUCUCAACCCUUUAGGUGAUUAGAUAUAUUUUUUAUUACAUUAUUUUCUUUAUAAAAAUGACACCAGUGAUCUUACUCCAGAACCAAGACUAUUCCAGUUGUUUUUUUGGACACUAUCAUGGAAAAUAACACCCAGGAACUAUUUUUAAAACAAUCGAGCAAAGGGAUGACUUCAUCAAGGCAAAUACCAAUGAAAUGUAAGCGGACUCUUUGAAAGCUACUAAACUGUAUGAUAAAGGUUGUCUGUUUUCCUUGCUUUGAAUUUCUAAGGGCUGUAAACCACUGUUGGAGAUGGAACUUUACUGGCGGAUUGUGAAACCCUCCUAGAGACCAGGCUCUAAGGCAUAAAUGCCUCACUUGAACACAGCAAGAUGCAAGAUUGCUGAAGCACUUUCUGUGCUUGCAGAAAACUCUGAAGGUGAGGUAUGUGCCACGACCUGGCACUGGUUUGUGGGCAGGGAUUUAGGGACACCCAGGAGGUUGGUCCCAAAGAUCCCUGCAGAAGUUGUAAAGGCUUAAAGAUUGAGGGAAAUCUUUAGAAAUAACACUUGGAUUAGAAGAUUAGUUCCUCCUUCCAGAAGAAGGUGAGUCUGCAGCCAAUUCCAGCAUCUCUCUUAGCUGCCUUGUAGGGUAUCAGAUUCCCUACCUCUGUGCUUCAGAGCCAACGCUGAAGGUACAAAUGAUAGUAAAGGAGAUACACCACCAGAGUUCUUGAUAAUAAGAUGAUUCUAAUUAUCCCUUGGAAUAAUAAAUAUCUGGUCUCUGUCUUUGGCUUUUGUAACAUCUGUAAAAGUCUGUAAGACUGGCAGCACCAAGAAAAUUUUGAUCUAUAAAAAAAAAAGAAAACUUUGAUCUAUGUUUUGCCUUCUUUCCAUGUAAUCAGCGACUAAUAUACCUGUGAUUUAUCAUGGGUCCAUGACUGAGUCCAAGUGAAGACAGAUGGAGGGGAUCGAAACUGUUUUACUGUGCAUUGAACAAUUUCCAGUUUGAGUUCAGUGCAGAAAAAACAUCUGACAACUUCAAAAUUAAAAGAACUGAGAAGCUAUGCAUCUAGUCACAAGAAUGGCAAUGACCAUUCUGUGGGUAAAAAGGCUAACUCCUUAACAUCUCGUUAUUUAACACAAAUUUGUAUGGUCCUAAAGAAUCAGGUGGAAAUUCUUUUGGCUCUGGCUCCAAGAUUCAAAAUAUUCUGGAUAAGUUCCCUACUAUUUUUCAUUUUUUAAAAAAGAUUUUAUUUAUUCAUGAGAGACACGCACAGAGAGGCAGAGACACAGGCGGAGGGAGACACAGGCCCCCUGCAGGGAACCUGAUGUGGGACUUGAUCUCAGGACCCCGGGAUCACAACCUGAGCCAAAGGCAGACAUUCAACCACUGAGCCACCCAGGCACCCACUAUUUUUCAUUUCUUAUGAGGAUUAUAAUAAGGCCCUACAUUGAACUACUCCUUACAAGAACCUCAAAAUAUCCCAGACAAUACUAUAUGUUCUCGCUUUCCCUCGUAUAUACAAGUAAGAAAUCAUUCAUUCAUUCAUUCAUUCAUUCAUUCAUACAUUUGGUUUAACUUGUCUCCUGUAUUCUGAUACAAUGAUAGGUGCUGAGUGUUAUAAUAGUACGAAUGAGAUAUGAGAGCCAUGAGCCCCUCCUUCUUGGAGAAUGUGAAAUAAGAGAAAAUAUAAAUAGCCUAAGUCAUCAAUUAUAGUAAUUAAAAUCCAGAGAGAUCAAAAUACACUGGAAAAUUCAGAUGGAAUUGGAAAUAUCUUUAUAGUCACUGGAUUCCCUCUUGGAACUAGAUUGUCCUGGUUCAAAUUGGAGUAAUAAUGAUAUCAUACCAACAUACUCAUACUUUGUCCUGUGGAGGUAAAUCAGAUGCAGGGAGACAUGUACUUGUACAUAGAGAACUAAAAGCAGGAAAACAUGAUCAUCAAAGAUUUUAUAUACUAUAAUAUCAGAAUAAGAAUGCAUGUUAUCUAUGGUAAGACUCACACAGGACCAUUAGUACAGCUUUUCAAAAAUCAAUCAUGGUAAUAGCUAGCCUGGAAUGACACCACCACCAGAUACUGUACAAACCACUUUAUGGUCAUUCCCUCAUUUAAUCUUUACAACAACGUUGUGGGAUAGAUGUUGAUAUUAUUAGCACUUUGAAGACGAAGAAAGUGAAGUGCACAGAGAGAAACUUUUCAAAGUCACAUAGACGGUCAAAGCAGAGACAGGUGAUGGUCCCAGGUCUCCUCAACUCCAGUACUCAAAUCCUUAACUCUGCUAGGCUUUACUGCCAAUUCUGAGGACCAAUCAGUAUGACCAUGUUUUUAGGAACCAGAGAUUGAUCCUUUUGGUGCCUGUAAGCACCGCUUUAAUUCUGAGCUAAUCUGAUCUCUUUAGAGGGUAAGCCAAGGCUCAUCAAGUUUUAAUAAGUAGCAUUUUUAGAGGAGCCCCAAUGAUACAAACCAUGUAGAUUCAUGGAAUUAGCUACAAGUUUAGAACAGAAUUCUCUUUAUCUUUUCCUCUAGCAUCAUUAAGAUCAUUCUUCUAUUUAUGUAAGAACCUUAUCCUGAGAAAAGCCAUUUGCUGACUUGUUCUGAGUUCACUGGGAGUGUCAGUGACAAGAUCACAGCUAGUUCAUGGUCCUGCAACAAGAAUCAAGCUAAGAUUUCUAUAAUCACUGAUAAGUACAUGGAGAUCUGAACGCUAGCCUCUCUUCAACCUCUAAAUCAUUGCCUGAUAAUAAUAGGUCAGUUAAUUACCCUUUCUGCGCUUCAGCCUCAAGAUGGAAGUUUUAAUAGCUACCUUCCUACCUGCUGAACAUUUUAAGACAAUUAAACUGAGAUAGUGGAACAUAAAUACAUUGAGAAAGCAUAAAAUAUUCUAUAACGAAUUGUUCCUAAGUUGCUGUAAGACAUCUAGUCAGUUUUCAAGGUUUAUGUCCAUGUUAUGUCACUUCCCUCCCAUAUGCACAGGGGUCUAAAAUGUUCCCCCUUCCAGGGUGUCUGGGUGGAUGGCUCAGUUGGUUAAGAGUCUGACUCUUGAUCUCAGCUCAGGUCUUGAUCUCAGGGUUGUGAGUUCAAGUCCCAUGCUUGGCAUGGAUCUAAUAAUUUUUUUUUUUUAAAUAAAAUCUUUCCCCUUUCCAGGGCCUGAAAGAGAAGUUGAUUCUGGCAAAUAAAAUCAGGUAAGGUGCUAUUUAUUGACAGAUACAAUGGCAUUAUAACGGACCCUCUUAAUUUACACUCUCACUGCCAUCCAUCUUAGCUUACAUUUUCAUUUCAGCUGGGUGAAUUUUUCAUUUUACCAGGAAAAAUUUAAUUUUAUGAAUGAAGGUCUUUACUCUUCAUCUCCUACCCCUUUGGUAAAUGUCUAAUCUUCCUUCCUGGAAGAAUGAGCCUGACCCAGAUCCAAGCAGUAAUUAACAAAACUAUGGGAGUUUGGAUGACUUCCUAUGGGAUGACUACUGGGUAGAGUGUGUGUAUGGGUGUGACAGUUAACUACAAAGCAGCUGAACUAAAGCCCUACUGUUUUAAAUGCUCUAGUUUCCUUUUGAAAGUCUA
rnacentral:lncRNA from 1 species